rnacentral:rRNA from 1 species
UACGAGGGGGGCGAGCGUUGUUCGGAAUUAUUGGGCGUAAAGGGUGCGUAGGCGGUUUGGUAAGUCUUGUGUGAAAUCUACAGGCUCAACUUGUAGUCUGCACGAGAAACUGCCGGGCUUGAGUGUGGGAGAAGUGAGUGGAAUUCCUGGUGUAGCGGUGAAAUGCGUAGAUAUCAGGAGGAACACCUGAGGCGAAAGCGGCUCACUGGACCAUAACUGACGCUGAUGCACGAAAGCUAGGGGAGCAAACAGG